rnacentral:rRNA from 1 species
UUUAUGGAGAGUUUGAUCCUGGCUCAGGAUGAACGCUGGCGGCGUGCCUAAUACAUGCAAGUCGAGCGAACGGACGAGAAGCUUGCUUCUCUGAUGUUAGCGGCGGACGGGUGAGUAACACGUGGAUAACCUACCUAUAAGACUGGGAUAACUUCGGGAAACCGGAGCUAAUACCGGAUAAUAUUUUGAACCGCAUGGUUCAAAAGUGAAAGACGGUCUUGCUGUCACUUAUAGAUGGAUCCGCGCUGCAUUAGCUAGUUGGUAAGGUAACGGCUUACCAAGGCAACGAUGCAUAGCCGACCUGAGAGGGUGAUCGGCCACACUGGAACUGAGACACGGUCCAGACUCCUACGGGAGGCAGCAGUAGGGAAUCUUCCGCAAUGGGCGAAAGCCUGACGGAGCAACGCCGCGUGAGUGAUGAAGGUCUUCGGAUCGUAAAACUCUGUUAUUAGGGAAGAACAUAUGUGUAAGUAACUGUGCACAUCUUGACGGUACCUAAUCAGAAAGCCACGGCUAACUACGUGCCAGCAGCCGCGGUAAUACGUAGGUGGCAAGCGUUAUCCGGAAUUAUUGGGCGUAAAGCGCGCGUAGGCGGUUUUUUAAGUCUGAUGUGAAAGCCCACGGCUCAACCGUGGAGGGUCAUUGGAAACUGGAAAACUUGAGUGCAGAAGAGGAAAGUGGAAUUCCAUGUGUAGCGGUGAAAUGCGCAGAGAUAUGGAGGAACA